UGUUAACUUUAUUCGUUCUCACGGUCAGAUUCCCACGGUCCGUAUUUUACUUCCUGCGCUGACACAUUAAAGAUGGAGAUCGACAGCAACAACAUCAGCGGGAGCAGUGGAAACGAGUCAUAAGUAUGCUUAAAUUCAAGGAAUAAAUGUUGCGUAUGCUAUGAUAUGGACAUAAAUGCAUUUUUAGUUCCUUGUGCUCAUAAGUUUUGUUUUCCUUGUGCCACAAGAGUCAAGACUACAGGACAGCCCUGCCCAAUAUGCAGAACUGACAUUACAAAUGUGGGAUCACUAGUAAGCAGUGACAUGUAAAAAUGAUGAUAGUUUACUGUUGUAGGAUUGUGUAUGGUAGGAUGCCAUACAUGUUUUCAUGAGGAAUUGAUAUCGUCUUAAGCUCACUUGGUGGCAUCAUUAGUAAGCAGUGAAGAGUAACAAUAAUAAUGAUUGUACUGUAUGAAAGGAUGUCAUACACGUUUUCAUUAAAAUUGAUAUUGUA